rnacentral:rRNA from 1 species
AGAGUUUGAUCCUGGCUCAGAUUGAACGCUGGCGGCAUGCUUUACACAUGCAAGUCGAACGGCAGCAUAGAGAGCUUGCUCUCUGAUGGCGAGUGGCGAACGGGUGAGUAAUACAUCGGAACGUGUCCUGUUGUGGGGGAUAACUACUCGAAAGAGUAGCUAAUACCGCAUAAGACCUAAGGGUGAAAGCGGGGGACCUUCGGGCCUCGCGCAGUUGGAGCGGCCGAUGACUGAUUAGCUAGUUGGUGGGGUAAAGGCCUACCAAGGCGACGAUCAGUAGCUGGUCUGAGAGGACGACCAGCCACAUUGGGACUGAGACACGGCCCAAACUCCUACGGGAGGCAGCAGUGGGGAAUUUUGGACAAUGGGGGCAACCCUGAUCCAGCCAUGCCGCGUGCGGGAAGAAGGCCUUCGGGUUGUAAACCGCUUUUGUUAGGAACGAAAAGGUAUCUGUGAACAACAGGUAUUGCUGACGGUACCUAAAGAAUAAGCACCGGCUAACUACGUGCCAGCAGCCGCGGUAAUACGUAGGGUGCGAGCGUUAAUCGGAAUUACUGGGCGUAAAGCGUGCGCAGGCGGUUGGGUAAGACAGGUGUGAAAUCCCCGAGCUUAACUUGGGAACUGCACUUGUGACUGCUCAACUAGAGUAUGUCAGAGGGAGGUGGAAUUCCAAGUGUAGCAGUGAAAUGCGUAGAUAUUUGGAAGAACACCGAUGGCGAAGGCAGCCUCCUGGGAUAAUACUGACGCUCAUGCACGAAAGCGUGGGGAGCAAACAGGAUUAGAUACCCUGGUAGUCCACGCCCUAAACGAUGUCAACUAGUUGUUGGGCCGCAUGGCUUAGUAACACAGCUAACGCGAGAAGUUGACCGCCUGGGGAGUACGGUCGCAAGAUUAAAACUCAAAGGAAUUGACGGGGACCCGCACAAGCGGUGGAUGAUGUGGAUUAAUUCGAUGCAACGCGAAAAACCU